GAAGAGAUGCAAUGGAAUAGUGCUUCACAGAAGUAGAGGGUAAGCGUGUUUUAGGGGAAGGCUUCUUGAAGGGUCUUUCGGGAGAGUUUAAUGGCAUAACGGUGACCUUCUCAGCCAAAGGAGGAGGUGGUGGUGGUGGAGGAGGAGGAGGCGGUGGAGGCAUCAACAUUGAAAAGUCAAUAUCUUGACUUUCUUGUCGUGAUAUAGGCGGUGCAGGUCUCUGCAACCUACCAAGGUCAUGUAACACCUUUGGUUCCUCUCCAGCUUUCGUGAAA
rnacentral:lncRNA from 1 species